AGCGCUAGUAGUAUAAACGAACUUUUGAAAGGGACAUUUUUUUGGUUCCGUAGGCAAAUGGCAAAAAACGGAACCCUUAUGGGUCUGUCAUGUCUGUCUCUGUCUGUCCGUCCGUAUGUCACAGCCACUUUUUUCCGAAACUAUAAGAACUAUACUGUUGAAACUUGGUAAGUAGAUGUAUUCUGUGAACCGCAUUAAGAUUUUCACACAAAAAUAGAAAAAAUAAUAAAAAAUUUUAGGGGUUCCCCAUACUUAGAACUGAAACUCAAAAAUCUUUUUUUCAUCAAACCCAUACGUGUGGGGUAUCUAUGGAUAGGUGUUCAAAAAUGAUAUUGAGGUUUCUAAUAUAUUUUUUUUUUCUAAACUGAAUAGUUUGCGCGAGAGACACUUCCAAAAUG